rnacentral:rRNA from 1 species
GACGAACGCUGGCGGCGUGCUUAACACAUGCAAGUCGAACGGAAAGGCCCUGCUUUUGUGGGGUGCUCGAGUGGCGAACGGGUGAGUAACACGUGAGUAACCUGCCCUUGACUUUGGGAUAACUUCAGGAAACUGGGGCUAAUACCGGAUAGGAGCUCCUGCUGCAUGGUGGGGGUUGGAAAGUUUCGGCGGUUGGGGAUGGACUCGCGGCUUAUUAGCUUGUUGGUGGGGUAGUGGCUUACCAAGGCUUUGACGGGUAGCCGGCCUGAGAGGGUGACCGGCCACAUUGGGACUGAGAUACGGCCCAGACUCCUACGGGAGGCAGCAGUGGGGAAUAUUGCACAAUGGGCGGAAGCCUGAUGCAGCAACGCCGCGUGCGGGAUGACGGCCUUCGGGUUGUAAACCGCUUUCGCCUGUGACGAAGCGUGAGUGACGGUAAUGGGUAAAGAAGCACCGGCUAACUACGUGCCAGCAGCCGCGGUGAUACGUAGGGUGCGAGCGUUGUCCGGAUUUAUUGGGCGUAAAGGGCUCGUAGGUGGUUGAUCGCGUCGGAAGUGUAAUCUUGGGGCUUAACCCUGAGCGUGCUUUCGAUACGGGUUGACUUGAGGAAGGUAGGGGAGAAUGGAAUUCCUGGUGGAGCGGUGGAAUGCGCAGAUAUCAGGAGGAACACCAGUGGCGAAGGCGGUUCUCUGGGCCUUUCCUGACGCUGAGGAGCGAAAGCGUGGGGAGCGAACAGGCUUAGAUACCCUGGUAGUCCACGCUGUAAACGGUGGGUACUAGGUGUGGGGUCCAUUCCACGGGUUCCGUGCCGUAGCUAACGCUUUAAGUACCCCGCCUGGGGAGUACGGCCGCAAGGCUAAAACUCAAAGGAAUUGACGGGGCCCCGCACAAGCGGCGGAGCAUGCGGAUUAAUUCGAUGCAACGCGUAGAACCUUACCUGGGUUUGACAUGGAUCGGGAGUGCUCAGAGAUGGGUGUGCCUCUUUUGGGGUCGGUUCACAGGUGGUGCAUGGCUGUCGUCAGCUCGUGUCGUGAGAUGUUGGGUUAAGUCCCGCAACGAGCGCAACCCUUGUUCACUGUUGCCAGCACGUUAUGGUGGGGACUCAGUGGAGACCGCCGGGGUCAACUCGGAGGAAGGUGGGGAUGACGUCAAGUCAUCAUGCCCCUUAUGUCCAGGGCUUCACGCAUGCUAUAAUGGCUGGUACAGAGAGUGGCGAGCCUGUGAGGGUGAGCGAAUCUCGGAAAGCCGGUCUCAGUUCGGAUUGGGGUCUGCAACUCGACCUCAUGAAGUCGGAGUCGCUAGUAAUCGCAGAUCAGCAACGCUGCGGUGAAUACGUUCCCGGG